rnacentral:rRNA from 1 species
UACGGGGGGUGCGAGCGUUGUCCGGAAUCACUGGGCGUAAAGGGCGCGUAGGUGGUCUGAUAAGGGUGUGGUGAAAGCCCGGGGCUCAACCCCGGGUCGGCCGUGCCGACUGUUAGACUAGAGUGCUGUAGGGGCAGGCGGAAUUCCGGGUGUAGCGGUGGAAUGCGUAGAUAUCGCAAGAACACCAGUGGCGAAGGCGGCUCACUGGCCCGGUACUGACGCUGAGGUGCGAAAGCGUGGGGAGCAAACAGG